rnacentral:lncRNA from 1 species
GCAUAGUGCUCAUGAUCUAGUGAGUAAACACAGUAUGUUUAGAUGAAUAAAUAGAUACCAUUUAUAAAAUUGAACAAGAGUCAUGCACUCUUUUCAUCUUUUAUUAGUCUCAUUGUUCCAGAAUAACACUUUACGACAAAUAUGCAAAUACACUGUGUAUUAGCCAGGCUGGACUCACUUAAAAGCCCCAAAUAUUGAGCCAAUAAGGAGAUUUGGGCUUUAAGUUCUCCAAGUUCCUGAUUUAUACAGAAUGUGGAAUAGGCUACAGUCCUCAGAUGUUGAAAGAAAAUGAAUGAUGAGAGCUGUUUAUCCUCAUGGCCAAAAGAAGUGCUACGCUACAUUUACAAGAAUAGAGCUUAGCCUAUUUUGCUUUGGGUGACAGCUUUGAAAGUGACUGCCAAGUCGGUGACCAGCAACAUGAACUUCUGACAAUUCAUCAUCUCCUGUGACUUUGAGGGCAAACUCUUGCAUUCUAUGAAUCCUUUGAGGCAAACAGUGACCUGCCAUAGCUUUCCUUUAUUUUGAAAGAAAGUAACAAACCUCAGAAGACACAGCUCUCAACUCGGUCUGGCAGCAAGUGAGGCUGAAGGAAGGGUCCAGAGCUAAGAUCAACAACUAGCCACAGAGGCAUUCAAGGGCUGGGAAGGCUGGGUCGAAAUGUAUCUGGGUUUUGGGUUCAUGAGAAUAAAAGCAAAUAUUCAUGGGGGUAAUUUGCUUACAAAGGGAAAUCCAAGGCUGAGAUAUUUUCAUUCCAGGCCAUGGUCAGUGUUUUGGGCUUGUGGCCAGGCAGCAUAUACGAUGCCAGCACAUAGCAUGGCAAAGCAAAUCUGUUCAUGUCGAGAACAGAAAAGGAGAGGACUAGCCUACAACCCUCCCUUAAAGCUCUACCACCUCUCAAGGACCAAGCCUUUGACACAUGGGCUUUGGCAGGGGACCAACUUCAGUUGAUAACAAAGUUAAUCAUUCAAGUUACUGGAUCAAAUCUAAGAAAUGCAAAUGUCAAUGAAUUUCUAUGUGUGCAACAUGUAGCUUGGAAGUUGGAGGGGUGUUGUUGCUGUUGUUGUUUUGGGGGUUGUUGUUUUUGUUUUGUUUUGUUUUGGGGGGUUUCUUUUUUUUCAAGACAGGGUUUCUCUGUGUAGCCCUGGCUGUCCUGGAACUCACUCUGUAGACCAGGCUGGCCUUGAACUCAGAAGUCUGCCUGCCUCUGCCUCCCAAGUGCUGGGAUUAAAGGUGUGUGCCACGACUGCCUGGCUUUUUUCUUUUUUUAUUAGAUAUUUUCUUUAUUUACAUUUCAAAUGCUAUCCCGAAAGUUCCCUAUACCUUCCCCCUGCCCUGCUCCCCUACCCACCCACUCCCACUUCUUGACCCUGGCGUUCCCCUGUACUGGGGCAUAUAAACUUUGC